UUAAAAUAUUCCAUCUCGAACGAUUACGACGAUCUCAACCAUGGGCUGAAAAUUGCUAAUUAGAUCCAGAUUCAAAGGAAAAUACGAUUGCGACGCAAAAUCUGGGUGCACGCUAUGAGGGAGUGCAGAGAGUGGGGAAUCCCCGGAUCCUUCGAAACGAGUAUAAAAGGACUUUUGAAAUUUUCUGUUGCCAUCAGUUUCCCAGUUCUCAUCAGGUAUAUCUGAAACAGAGGUCAAUAGAAUGAAUAAAAUUCUGAUUGUCGUACUCGCGGUGCUCCUGGUCGGGACAUUGGCAUCACCCGUUGCUCAGCAGAGCGAGGAGUCAGCUGUCGAGACUACCCCGGCUGUCCGAGAGGUCCGUGCUGCAGAGCCCGAUCGUCAUGGUGGAAAACAUGGGCAUGAUCACUAUCAUGACAGGUAUCACCAUGACAAGCACUGGCAUGGAAAACAUCACUGAGAUGGACGUGAAUAAUGGGAGAUGACCAGGAGAGCUCCAGGUAGAUGCUCAUAUCGAAAUCAAAGUAGUUCGACUCUCAAUAACAAUUUUGAAUAUUUUAUUUUGAAGUUUUCCAAGUGAAUAAUGUAACGAAGAAUUAAAAAAUCAUUCAAUCAG